AGUGAACGCUGGCGGUAGGCCUAACACAUGCAAGUCGAACGGCAGCACAGUAAGAGCUUGCUCUUACGGGUGGCGAGUGGCGGACGGGUGAGGAAUACAUCGGAAUCUACUUUUUCGUGGGGGAUAACGUAGGGAAACUUACGCUAAUACCGCAUACGACCUACGGGUGAAAGCAGGGGAUCUUCGGACCUUGCGCGUUUGAAUGAGCCGAUGUCGGAUUAGCUAGUUGGCGGGGUAAAGGCCCACCAAGGCGACGAUCCGUAGCUGGUCUGAGAGGAUGAUCAGCCACACUGGAACUGAGACACGGUCCAGAAGCCUCCGGGAGGCAGCAGUGGGGAAUAUUGGACAAUGGGCGCAAGCCUGAUCCAGCCAUACCGCGUGGGUGAAGAAGGCCUUCGGGUUGUAAAGCCCUUUUGUUGGGAAAGAAAAGCAGCAGGUUAAUACCCCGCUGUUCUGACGGUACCCAAAGAAUAAGCACCGGCUAACUUCGUG
rnacentral:rRNA from 1 species